UUUGAGCGUGCUCUAGCAACUUUCCUCUGAAAAGAGUUGGCGACUCUGAUCUAAUCCGGGAAUUCCGGGAAUGCUGGGCGCGAGCUGGGAAUACAGCUUGGAUGGGACGCCAGACUGUCACAGGCUCAUCAGUUGUAAGAAGAGCUCAGCUGCUUAACACAAGUUAAGCUGCCCACUGUUCUUCAGAAAAAUCCUCCAGAUCCUGUACAUUCUUUGCUUUUCCAGCAUCUUCUGCAUAUUUGACCCCUUUGCACCGGUGGCUAUAUGAUGUUGAGAUCCAUCUUUUCAUGCUGAGGACAACUGAGGGAUUCGUACACAACUAUUACAAAAGUAUCAUACCUACAAGAGUACACCAUCAUGGACCUUUAUGAAGAACAAUUUAUGGAAAGCGCUAGACUGGUGUAUAUAGUGGAGAGAAGACCCGUCUCUGACUCUCCAGAGAAAGACCAUAACUGAGGGAGUGACUAUGACCACAGUCAUGGUAGACGUGGAUAUGGUGCAGAUCAGAGAGCAUAUCACAGAGAGAGGGUUUUCUGUGGUGGAGAAAGAAGUGAAGUGACUUACAAAAUGGCAUGAUGUCUUUCAUAACAUUUUAAUGCAGGCUAUGACUAAUGAAUAGGAUUAUAUUAAUUCCAUUGAUGGAUUAUUCUCAAUAACUGGAAUGUUGCGCAUAGCACAUGAAGUCCUACAGCAGGAAUGUCAAGCUCAGGCCCUGAAGAGCCACAGCCCUACCGUGAUUUUCCCCUUCUGACACACUCCAAUCUUUACCUCAGGACUAAAAAUUAAAUCUGCAGUGCUCUGACCUUCCCGGCCUUGAGUCUUGUAGCCCUGGUCUACAGGAAUGGUUUUAAUAAUUGGUUGUGACAAUAGUGGUGUAAUGUCAGUGCUCUUCAUCUUUACAGGAGUAGUAGUUUAGCCAAAAAAGAAAAAUUCUGCUAACAAUAGUUACAAGUGGGACAUAGGAUCAUUCUCCUAGGCUUGUAUUGUUGUGUGAUCAUAUUUGCUAUCAAAACGUCAUCACUGUGUUGGGUAUGUGCUUAUAAGAACUCUACCAUACUUGCUAAGGUAAAUCUCAGAAUCAGAAGUGAUUGAAACUGAUACACAGGGAGGCACUGAUCUAAAAUGCAUAUUGCAUCUCGUAUACUAGUAAUAUAUUCUACUAUAUUAGUAAUAAAUAUUAAUCAUAAACACAUUUCUAGAGUUUUAAUGAAUUGUUAUAACUGUUAAAGGCAAUGAAUACCAUUUGUGUUUUAUAAUGCUGCUGUAUUCACAUUUUUACUACAGACAGCCUGCAAAAGGACAAGCUCAGCUCAGGUAAAUCACAUUAUUUUGAUAGCUAUAACUCUGAUCAUAUACAAUGGUGGUCUAGCUGGAAAUAAUAGUUAAAACAGUGGGCACAAAAGCUGUUGAAAAGAAACAUUAAAUAACCUUAUCAUAGUGUUAUCAAUCUUCAUGAUUAUGGCAUUGUCAUUCUCAGGCAUUAUUGAUGGUAACAGAAAUGGGUAAUUGAAUUAAAACAGCAGCAUAUUUUUUUCUGGCAAUGUGUACAGUAUAUAUCCAUUAGGCAAUGCCAGACUAAAUCCAGCAGAAUGAAAAGUGAAAGACUAACUAUAUGAACAUCUGGCAUGCUGAAAAUGAACAUCAUGGUCACUUCAUAUUCUGUAGAUAUACACUUUAUAUUUCUGUAGGCAGUACUUGCUUAGAAAACAUUGUACAAAGCAUGUCAUAAUAGCUACAAAUUUCUAAUAUGGUGAACUGUAAUAAUUCAGCCUGGCGCUGCAGUGAUUUAGCACCAUAGUGUGUUUUCAGUGGCUAUUGGUGCCCAGCAGAGGGUAGUAGAAUACUUUGUGACAGGACAUAAUCAGUUUUGAGCUUCUUGAAACAUAGACAGUAUACUGUGUGUAUAUAUAGGCCUCUCUGGAAUGAGUUAGAAUCAUCUUUUACAUUUUGCAUGCAUUUUUUUGUAGACUGUUUCCUCUGGGUUCAUUGGUGGCAUUAGUCAAGGUCAGACUUCUUUAGACUCAUUUGGACUUGAUGUCCAGACUUGUUGCAUGGUUUAUUCCUCAAACUCAGCACAUUUUUUUCACUAUUUCUCACAAAACAUCUACAUAAUGGUUGCUGGUGCAAGGGACACACCCAUCAGAAAGUUAUCACACAAUCUCCUUGUCAGUGACUGACGUCAGACCCCCCACAUUGCACAACACAUGAUCUCUCUACCAAACACAUAGUCCAGUCACCCGAUCUCACUUCUUUCUAUUACUUUUGGGCUUAACAGGGUGCCAAUAGUUCACUGGCAUGGUCUCCAGCUUUCUCCCCCACCCCAUUUUGCCCUACAUUAUUCCCAGUGGAGCCCCGCUAGAUACCAGGCUUAGGACAAAGGGCACUACUGUGUGCUCCUGGAGCCAAAAUGUUAGGCUCCUGUGAGGUCCAGUAAAGGUAGUUGGGGAGCGUAGAAACUACAGUGUCUAACAGGAUGCUAGAAAUAUUUUAGCCGCUUUUCGAUUUCCAAAGUCCAUCAUAGCUAGGACUUUUAAAGACCAAUGCUUCUUUAGUAUCUAUGUGGUCUCUCUUAUUUACUCAGAUCCACCCAGUGGCUGAUUAAUCGCAAAACUUGUCUACGUAGUAGAUGUUGACAGUUUUAAUGGAUCAGAAUGAUAAACUAGUCCUUGAGAAUCUUACCUUUAGAAUAUUCCCUUUAAGGUGGAUUAAGGUGAUAGUAAUCCACCUUAAAGCAUACUAUUCAGUAACUACUGUACUUUGAUGCAUCAGCAUGCUGCUUGUGCAGCUCUGUGGAGCGAGCAGUCAAGCAAGCUGUCCAUGGGGCUCAGUUUGUCUGAGGGUGAUCUGGCUCAAAGACAGUUGAAGUGGAAAGUUUUUUCUGUUAUAAUGGCUACACCUCUGUGUUAUACUGGACAUUGGGGAUGGAUCUUUGGCUGUACUACUUUCAGACACGAAGAUGUAGGACAUAUCUAGGCUGAUGUAUAAUGUGUGCAUUUGAAAUUUCCCACCAAUUUGAACCUGACAGCUCUGACUGUGAGUUACUAUUACAGCAUUUUCAUGGCAACGCUUAGCAGCUCAGGCAUAUCAUGUGAUUAAGAAAAGAGCUUUAAUGUAGAUUUAUUAUUAUUAUUACUAUAAUUAUAUUCAUUUUUUUUUAUCAUAGUUAAUAUAAUGACUAUUAAUCAUUUUUGUUAUGUGUUAUUUGGUGUUAUUUGUGAUUUGCUUUGUGAUUCUGGUACAUAUUCUACACCCAUCAGUAGGCUA